CUCCGUCACCAAAAAAAGAAGUUUUCCCGAGAAAAUCCCAAAUCUCAUCUCUCUCUCUCAUUUAUGAAAACCCUACCUUCUUCUCUAGAUCUCACCUUCCCAGAUAUGGCGACGAUUCCGAUGGACAUCGUCAACGACAUCUUCCUCCGAUUACCAGCUAAAACCUUAGUUCGUUGCCGUGCUCUCUCAAAGCCAUGUUACGAUCUAAUCGACGAUCCCGAUUUCAUCUCAUCUCAUCUUCACCGCGUCCUUCAAACCGGUGAUCAUCUCAUGAUCCUUCUCAGAGGCGCUCUUCGUAUCUACUCUGUAGAUCUCGAUUCACUCGAUUCUGUCUACGACGUUGAGCAUCCGAUGAAACGUGGUGGUCCGACGGAAGUUUUCGGAUCCUGUAACGGUUUGAUCGGGUUAUCUAAUUCUCCGACUGAUUUAGCUGUUUUUAAUCCGUCUACUAGACAGAUUCAUAGGUUACCUCCGUCGUCUAUCGAUCUCCCCGAUGGUUCGAGUAACCGUGGUUACGUGUUUUACGGAUUGGGAUAUGAUUCUGUGAGUGAUGAUUAUAAAGUUGUGAGGAUGGUUCAGUUUAAGAGAGAUUCAGAGGAUGAACUUGGUUGUACUUUUCCUUAUGAGGUUAAAGUGUUUAGUUUAAAGAAGAAUUCGUGGAAGAGGAUUGAAUCUGCUUCGUCUUCGAUUCAGUUGUUGUUUUACUUUUAUUAUCAUCUCUUGUAUCGUCGUGGUUACGGUGUUCUUGCUGGUAAUAGUCUUCAUUGGGUUUUGCCUCGAAGGCCUGGUUUGAUUGCGUUUAAUCUCAUUGUCAGGUUUGAUCUUGCCUUGGAAGAGUUUUCGAUUGUUCGGUUUCCGGAAGCUGUUGCGAAUGGUAAUGUUGAUAUUCAGAUGGAUAUAGGUGUUUUAGAUGGUUGUCUUUGUUUGAUGUGUAACUACGACCAGGAAUAUGUUGAUGUUUGGAUGAUGAAAGAAUACAAUGUGAGAAGUUCUUGGACUAAGGCUUUUACUGUUCAGAAACCGAAAAGUAUGAAAUCGAUUGCGUAUAUGAGACCUUUGAUUUAUUCCAAGGACAGAGAUAAGGUUCUUUUGGAGAUUAACAAUACAAAGCUAGUGUGGUUUGAUUUAGAGAGUAAGAAGAUGAGUACUCUUAGGAUUAAAGACUGCCCUAGCUCAUAUAGUGCAGAACUGGUUGUGAGUAGCCUUGUUUUGGGAUGUAGAGGAGAUCUUAAUAACAUUAAGUUGCGGGAAGAACAACGUGCGAAAGAAGCUGAAGAAUCAAAAAUGAUGCAGAACAGUAGAAAGAGGGAUGAUUUCCUGUCCAAGGGAUUCAAGCUGGUCUUAUAAGUAAAAAUCAAGAAACAAGAGCAUGAAACUAGUAAAAAGGUAAGUGUAAAACUGACCAUUAUUAAUGGUAUUUAGUUUGCUGCAAUAUCAUUAUUUUUCUUUGCUUGCCUUUUUUUUGUCUCUAUUUUCUUUUGUCGUGGGCGAGCAUUUUUCGUAUUCGGGUGGACACAAGAGUCAAAGGCAGAAGUCUGUCAUAGUCUUUACGGGAAUUGUUCGAUCUGCAAACCAUCAUCGAGAUUUGAUUUUUCAGGGCGGGGAUAAGGGGACGGGAGAGAGAAUUAACCUCAACAAAAAAAAAGCUUUGAAUACCACAGGACAUAUAGUAAGUAAUAAACAACUUAACCUAAGUAUAUGUCUUGAGAGAAGAAGAGAGUAUACUUCAUAUAUACAAGUGUUGUUACUGGUUUGUAAAUAAGUGAAACCUUGAAUCCCCUACAUAACUCUUUUGAGGCUUGUUAUUACUUAAAUACCACUAACGCUUUGUACUUCCUCCUUUUUAAGUCUCUGCAUAAACUGAGAA